GGAACUUAAACUUUUUAAUGAGAAAUUGAUUCAGUAUCUAAAUAUGCUUCAUUCUUCCUUUAACUAAGUGGUUAUUAUUUUUCUCUUUAAUUUUUUAGCAUAUGACGUUCCUAUUUACCUACAAUCAACGAGAUGUCAUUCUUUUGUAACUCAUGCAUACAGAAGAAUCAAAUUGUUGUUAUUUAUCUUUGAAAGACAAACGAUUGUGUCUAU
rnacentral:lncRNA from 1 species